UACAGAGGAGCCAAGCGUUGUCCGGAUUUACUGGGCGUAAAGAGCGUGUAGGCGGCCACGCAGGUCCGUUGUGAAAACUGGAGGCUCAACCUCCAGCUGUCGACGGAAACCGUAUGGCUAGAGUCCGGAAGAGGAGAGUGGAAUUCCUGGUGUAGCGGUGAAAUGCGCAGAUAUCAGGAAGAACACCAAUGGCGAAGGCAGCUCUCUGGGACGGUACUGACGCUGAGACGCGAAAGCGUGGGGAGCGAACAGG
rnacentral:rRNA from 1 species